rnacentral:rRNA from 1 species
GGAAAUCUCACCAGGCCCGGACACUGGAAGGAUUGACAGAUUGAUAGCUCUUUCUUGAUUCGGUGCGUGGUGGUGCAUGGCCGUUCUUAGUUGGUUGAGUGAUUUGUCUUGUUAAUUCCGAUAACGAACGAGACCUUAACCUGCUAAAUAGUGACGCGGUUCAUCGAACCGUGGGCCACUUCUUAGAGGGACUAUCGGAUUCAAACCGAUGGAAGUGUGAGGCAAUAA